GUAGGUGGUUUGUUAAGUGAAUAGUGAAAUCUGGUGGCUCAACCAUCAACACAUUAUUCAAACUGACAAACUCGAGAAUGAGAGAGGUCACUGGAAUUCCCUUGUGGUAGGAGUGAAAUCCGUAGAUAUAAGGAGGAACACCAAUGGCGUAGGCAGGUGACUGGCUCAUUUCUGACACUGAGGCACGAAAGCGUGGGGAGCGAACGGGAUUAGAUACCCCGGUAGUCCACGCCGUAAACGAUGGAUGCUAGCUGUUAGGAGUAUCGACCCUUCUAGUAGCGAAGCUAACGCGUUAAGCAUCCCGCCUGGGGAGUACGGUCGCAAGAUUAAAACUCAAAGGAAUUGACGGGGACCCGCACAAGUGGUGGAGCGUGUUCUUUAAUUCGAUGAUAAGCGAAGAACCUUACCAGGGCUUGACAUCCUUGGAAUUUCUCCGAAAGGAGAGAGUACUUUAUUGGACCAAGUGACAGGUGUUGCAUGGCCGUCGUCAGCUCGUGUCGUGAGAUGUUAGGUUAAGUCCAUCAACGAGCGCUACCCUUAUGUUUAGUUGUAUUUUUCUAAACAGACUGCCUCUGUAAGGGGGAGGAAGGAGGGGAUGAUGUCAGGUCAUUAUUACCCUUACGUCCUGGGCUAGAAACGCGCUACAAUGGCCGGUACAAAGGGCAGCCAACCCGCGAGGGGGAGCAAAUCCCAUCAAAACCGGUCCCAGUUCGGAUUGCAGGCUGAAACUCGCCUGCAUGAAGCCGGAAUCACUAGUAAUCGUAGGUCAGCACACUACGGUGAAUACGUUCCCGGGUCUUGUACACACCGCCCGUCAAACCAUGGAAGUCACCAACACCCGAAGUUCUAAUUUAUUAGGCCUAAGGUGGGGGGGAUAACUGGGGUU
rnacentral:rRNA from 1 species